AGUGUAGGCGGGAUCGUAAGUUAGGAGUUUAAUACAUGGGCUUAACCCAUGAGCUGCUUUUAAUACUGCGGUUCUUGAGUAUGGGAGAGGGCGAUGGAAUUCCAGGUGUAGCGGUGGAAUGCGUAGAUAUCUGGAAGAACACCAGUAGCGAAGGCGGUCGCCUGGCCCAAUACUGACGCUGAUGCUCGAAAGCUAGGGGAGCAAACAGGAUUAGAUACCCUGGUAGUCCUAGCCGUAAACGAUGGACACUAGUUGCUGGAGGAGUCAAUCCUUUCGGUGACGAAGCUAACGCAUUAAGUGUCCCGCCGUGGGGAGUACGUUCGCAAGGAUGAA
rnacentral:rRNA from 1 species